GCCUGUCCAGGGCAUGUCGGCAGGCCUGGUACCAUGGCACCGCAGUACAGCUGCAAGCAGCAUGAGCUGCUCACGGGAUCUGUGUUCCCUUUGAUUUAACGAUUCCAAUUAAAGACAGAGGAGAAGUUGGUGGUGUUUGAGGAUUUGGAGAGGGUGAUAAUGCUGCUUGAAGAAUGUGAGGUGGUUUGAAAGCCAUGGGGAAAAGUACAGUGAGAAAUGGGGGUGCCUGGUGGCUUUGGUAAUGGGCAUGUAUCAGAAGGCAGAAUAUGGAGAGUGCAUCUAUUACAUCACAGUAGGCAUCUGCUGUAGUAAGGGUCUUUCUAGGGACUAGGUUUCUCACUGCUGGCAAGCACUGCUUAUCAAAGACAAUACCAGUUUCUGGCAAAGGGUUUGAGUUGUUUCUUUUGGAAUAAGGAAGAGGAGAAACUGGGACUCAGGUGAGAAGGAGAGUCUGAAAUGGCGUUUUUGUACUCAGUGGGGCUUGGUCUCGGGUUGUGCACACAGUGAAGGAUAUGAGUGAGAGCAAAAAGCCUCUGGGGAAAGCAGCCACUAGGAAGGAGGAGGUAGUGCAACGCCUUAGGAGGAAGUGUGGAAAUGGAAAAAGCAUCUUCCACAUUCAACAGCAGCAGUAGUUGGCUGAUGGGUUUUCCCCACCAGACAGAUCUCCUCCAAAUGAUGUCUGAGGCCUUGGGAUCUGGCAUUUGCUGAGCAGAGGACGUAACUCUGCAUUGACAAUGUGUGGUGGAGUGACAGCUCAUGCCAAGUGACAUUUCUGCUUUCUCAAGGCUGAAAUGCCUUUAGUAUGUUCCUAUCUCUUGACUAUGGUGUUCCUGUUAUGCUUCUGUGUCAUCCGAUGAUGCCAGUUCGGAGAACCAGAGAGGGAGAUCUGCAGAAUGUGUGGGUUUUGGGCAGCAGUGAGGGAAGACUUGUGUCCUCUUUAAUUUGCAGAUACAUCAAGGUGGUGGAAAAUGGGUGGAACGGAUGAGGGCUGCUUGUGAGUGUAUGUUUUCCUCUUACUGUAGGCUUCUGCCAGUACUUUCCAGACAUCUGCUACUUUUCAAGGUCUAAAAGGCUGCACUGAGCUCCUGGGACUAAUUUAUGUUAGGUAGUCCUGUACCUGCAGUGUUCUGUUCUAUUAUCUUUUGUUCUGGGUAGUUGUUUUAAAGCAGUACAAAAUUGUAUGGAAGAACACUGCUAUGUUUCUGGUGACCAUGUGAGCUUCAAAGAGAACAAACCAACAGCCAGAAGAACUACAGUCUUGUCAUGGGGUGAGAAUCCACUUUGAUUACAUAGCAUGAGCACUUAAACGAAAUCAAGACUCUCAGGCUGAAGGUGUCCUGUAGUGGUAGAAGUGAGUUCUGAACUGGGGAAAGCUGCCAAAGCAAUAGGGAUGUGAUAUAGUGGUGGAUUUGGUAGCGUUAGAUGAUGGUUGAACUUGAUGAUUUUAUAAAUCCUUUCUGAUCUAAAUGAUUCUGUGAUUCUGUAAUGCUUUCUUAUGCCAAGACUGAACCAAAACUGAACUCCUCAUUCUGAAGAUAAAUAAUACUUUGCACCUUUAGUACAAAGAUCUCAGGACACUUUAAUAAACCACAAAUGAAUCAUCCUAAUACUCCCUGUGUAAGGAGACUGAAAUUAUCUUCUUGUUUCAUAGCAAUUCAAAUCAUGAGAUUAAAUGACUUGUCUAUUUCACUUUUCAGAUCUGGGAACAGAAUCUGUGAGAUAAAAGUCCCAAUACAGUCUUUUUACUGAGAGGUCUUGUAACUGCUUAGUCUUGUAAUCGCUGAUGUACUUCUUGCUUCUUUUCUUUGAUACCUACUCCUGAAUGCAGGAACUAAAAUAACACCCAUCCAGUUCUGUAAUGAAAGUGUCAUCCGUGAGAGAGAGCAGGAGCAGGUUAGGACUCCUUCCCAGCUUUGGGUAUGCAUGUGAGCUCCAAAAGCAGUACUAGGUGCAAGCAGCAGACAGCUGGAGAGAGAGUUCUGUGUUGUCAUAAAGAGUGAGGAUCUUGGGCAGACAGAAUGUGGUCCUGCUGUGGGAAGAGCACAGCGAAGUCAGACUGUGUUUUAGCAGGCAGGGAUUGCUGUUCUAACAAAGGGGCAAGCAAGCUGCUGAUGGAUCUUGUGUUGCUUUGCAAAGGUACAAUGACCAUGUGCUGAGCUGGGAUGAAUCGGCUGGACUUUGCUGCUCUGAGCAGUUGCCUGAUGAGUGUAGUUGUGAACCUGUGCAACUUCACAGCUUCCCACCUGCAUCACAUCCAGCGCUCAAGUGGUGCAGGUCAGCAAAUUUCAAGGCCAGUGCAAUGCUAUCCCAUUCAUAAGUGGCAAAAAGCCACAUAUCUGCAUAUCCAUCACUGCUUUGUAGUUCUUUGCUCUGCUAAGCAUGCUAAUGAGGAAUAGUCAUUACCCUUAAAUGCCUGAAAUCUACAAAGGAAUGACUAUUUUCUCUGGGCCUAUAAUAUAUUUUGCUGCCUUGUGCUUGACUUCCCUUGUUGCCCUUCAGAACAGAGUCUGAACAGCUGGUUUCCCUGCUUUGGAGUACCCACUGGCUUGCUUCAGCCUGGAGCCAAGCUCACAUUCAGAUCCUGCUUGGAAAAAUUUCAAUCACGUCCUGUGGGUUGUGCUGGCACUCAUCAAGAAUGUAUUGCCCCCUGCUCCAUGAAGGCCUCAUGCUGAUACUGUACCUAUUCUGGGACAGGAGAAUAGGAAGGGAUCACCACAGUCCACGCAUCGUCCAUUCAAAAAAUCCUGAUGACUUGUGCAAGGGAAUGCCACGAUAGGACAGGAAUGUUUCAAGGCACUGACAUAGAGAUGUACUGCCCUCAUGUGAUCACAGAUCAGAUACUUGUAGCCUGCAGGAAUAAACGCAUGCAGAGAAAAGCAGCCGUCAGCUUUUCAGCUGGUUUUGACCUUUCUGCAGCUUCCUAUGGAACAAAAAGUCAAGAAAUAGAUUCUGCAGCCACUUCCACUCUGCGAAAUAACAUUUUGUAGAACAUCUCUGUGACUGCAAACUGCAAACCUAGAUCUCACCGCAACAGAAAUCAUGCAGAAACCUGGGAGCCUGUCUUUCAUACUGAGAGGGGCACAUGGCUGCCCUAUCUCACUCAUUGUGCCACUGACAAGGACCCAAACCCUCUGUAAAAAGGCAAUAGCUUUGCUUCCCAUCUGCACCAUGACCCCAGCUAUGGGAAGUGAGGUUUCCUAGGCCUCCCUACCCUCAGUGUAGCUGUCUCAACCAGAAGGUGUUUAAAUAUUCAUCCAGCCCUUGCUGCCAAGACAUUUGACUUAUAUGUGGUCUUAAUUCCAGCUGCUUUUUGUGCUGCUGAGGAGAUGUGGGCCAUGAAUCUCCGCUGCUGUGUGCCUUUGCAAAUAAAUGUUGUCAUGCUUUGACGUCUGCUCUGACUGUGGCAGGAGCUGGUUGCCACACAGCAUUUUCACUGAUUGCUAAAUGGCCACGAAAUCUCUUUGCUUGGCCACAGAGUGUUCUCACCUGAGGAGAUGAACCGGGGGCAUCCUGGCUGAUCUUUGCCUCCAUUGACAAAAUAAUCGAUGUGUCCAACAGGGAUGCGGAUCCCAAAAUCUGAAAGUGAAUGAAAUGCAACUUUAUUCCUAUGCUCAGUAGUACCGUAGGCUGUACUCUACAUGGUGUUUGACAGGGCCCAAUAACAGGUUGAAUGUGAGCAGUGCCAGACAUAGCUCCCCCACGACCCAUUUUAUUCACACAGCAAGAACAUAUUUCCUGUUCCUUCUCAGAUGCCCUGGCUUUGUUGCAUGAAGCAGAGGUUGCUCUGGGAUCUGCCAUAAAAAUGUCUGGCAACUUUGUCUUAACCACUAUCUCCAUCAUUCCUGUUCUUGAUCCUGUAUAAAGCAGAGCAAAACUGGACACAACUUUCAUAGGGAAUAACGAGGAAUGAGUGAGAAUUAUAUUAGUAGAGAUUUUUGUAGUCUCCAGGCAAAGGGUGUGACUGAGAGGCAAAUGUUUAUAUUUUAGCACAUUUUAAUUAGCAGAACAUAAGUGUUUUAGGAAAGUUAAUCCAUUGCUGCAACAGCUGUGGGUUUGACUCCAUUACUUUCUCCCAGUGGCACCUUUCUGUUGUCAUGUAAGCAAAAGCAAAGCAUGGUUAGACACGUAAAUUCCUUCCUUGCAAGUGGCAAAAAGCACACUGAGCUUGUUCUGCAGAAACUCACUCUGCUGUAGCAAGGUUAGGGAAGAAAUGUGUGCUGGAAGAUUGCCCUGUGUUUACAGCACUAAAGCUCCCACCUGUUGCUGUGAUGUGCUCUGGGGUAUGGAUGCCUGCCAGUGUGUUCAUCUCUGAAGCCUGUCUAAUCGGGGAACAUCCUCAGACUGGACCGGAACUUGUAGUCAUGUGGCAUAAAUGGGACAAUAACCUGCUUGGUUCUUAGCAAUAACAAUGGCAGGACAAACAGACAUGGCGAGCUGAGGAGGAAAGAAGCCAGCUUACUGUCAGCAUCGGUAUGAAUGGCUUCCACAAAGAGGGCAUCCCCAGGGUCCAGGCGUUCUUCCAGGCUGGCUCUGGUGUAUUUAGGGCCUGCAGGAUCCAGGCCUGCAACGAAAUCAAACAGCCCAACAACAAAUGCUCUUCAGACCCUCCCUUUCUUAGUUCUGGACCAGUAAUUUUAUUUAAAUUGUUUAUUUAAUUGA